AGUCAUGAACAGAGAUGCAUCUGGAGCAGGAAUAAGGAUGCUGACAACAUCUGUGUCUGCCCUCCACUCUUUGACUUUGCUGCUCCUCCCAUUAAGAGGCAGAACCUAUUUCCUCACUCCUUGAAUCUGUGACUCAGUUUGACCAAUUGAAGAAAGAAGUGAUGUUGUGCAACUUCAGAGCCAGACCUCAAGAGGCCUUGUAGCUUCUGCUCUACUUGUUGGAACACAACAAUGUGGGAAGCCCAGGCCAGCCUGCUGGGCACAUGUGGCCCAACUGGCAGCCAGGAGCGUGCAGUCAUCUGAGACCACUGGGCAACUGCAGCCACAUGAGGUGUGAACAACAGAAGAACUCCCCAGCUGAGCCCAGCCCACAGAAUUGAGCAGAUAACAUGACUUUUGUUUGAAGCAGUAAGUUUUGUUGUGGUCAAUAGCAAUAGCUGACUGAUACAGUGUAGGCCUUGGUGAAGGCUGGAGUGGGAGACCAAGACUGAUGAGGGCUUAUCGUGUGCCAGACACACUCAGCACGCUUUAUUUCUUUUGGUUUUUUCUCUUCUUUUCUUUUCUUUUUUUUUUUUUUUUCUUGAGACAGAGUCUCAGUCUGUCACCCAGGCUGGAGUGCGUUGUGGUGAUCUUGGCUCACUGCAACCUCCACCUCCCAGGCUCAAGUGAGUCUCCUGCCUCAGCCUCCUGAAUAGCUGGGAUUACAGGUGUGUGCCUUCAUGCCGUGCUAAUUCUUGUAUUUUUAGUAGAGACGGAGUUUCGCCAUAUUGACCAGGCUAGUCUUGAACUCCUGACCUCAAGUGAUCCGCCCACCUCAGCCUCUCAAAGUGCUGGGAUUACAGGCAUAAGCCCCUGCACCAGCCAUUUAUUUCUUAUACAACUUGCAGGAUGAGGCGAAUGAUGUAUUCCCCAUUUUACAAGGUCACCCAACCAGACAGCGGGAGAGCCAGGAUUCCAACCCAGGACUCAAUAUCCGUGAAGCCUUCACUCUUGGCAGACAGAAGAGGAGGAAGAACUGAGGUGGGCGUGUGAGAUGUGGGGAGACUAAGGCGGAGGAGGGGGUUCACACUCACAGAGCACACGGAGCAUGACUGGAGCAGA
rnacentral:lncRNA from 1 species